rnacentral:rRNA from 1 species
UGAACGCUGGCGGCGUGCCUAACACAUGCAAGUCGAGCGGUAACAGGUGUAGCAAUACAUGCUGACGAGCGGCGGACGGGUGAGUAACGCUUGGGAAUCUGCCUAUUAGUGGGGGACAACCCGGGGAAACGUCGGGCUAAUACCGCAUACGCUCUACGGAGGAAAGCCGGGGACCGGCAAGGCCUGGCGCUAAUAGAUGAGCCCAAGUCGGAUUAGCUAGUUGGUAGGGUAAUGGCCUACCAAGGCGACGAUCCGUAACUGGUCUGAGAGGACGACCAGUCACACCGGAACUGAGACACGGUCCGGACUCCUACGGGAGGCAGCAGUGGGGAAUAUUGGACAAUGGGCGAAAGCCUGAUCCAGCGACGCCGCGUGGGUGAAGAAGGCCUGCGGGUUGUAAAGCCCUUUCAGUGGGGAAGAAAGCCUCGACCUAACACGUCGGGGUCUUGACGUAACCCAUAGAAGAAGCACCGGCUAACUCUGUGCCAGCAGCCGC